ACUGGCUCCGCGUCGGCCGGUCGGUUUGGUCGGUUGUAGUGGCCUCGCCGCCCGGUCCGCUGUCGCAGCGCUCAUCCGCGCCGGGAGCCCUUGGCUGCGUCGCCCGGCAGCCGCGCCUCGCGAGACCGCUGUCUACGGCGCUGACGCCGCCUCUGCCUCUUGACCCCUUGGCCCCGCUGUCCUGAUCCCUGAGGUCGGGGCCUGGUCUGCACUCCAGGAAAGACGAGUGCGCUUAGUGUGCGCUGCACGUGAGCAGUGAAGUUGAUUCCACGCGCUGCGCUGCUCGGCAGCUGUCCCAGAACUGACCACGGACCCCUCCGCGGGUCCUGCUCCUGACAAGGGCCUUCCGGCACUGGGAGUUUUGUGUUAGUGGAAAGGAAGAAUCUAAUAAUACCACCACCUUUACAGUAAAGACGCUGCGAAUUGACGCCUUUUAUAAUAAAGACACUUAUCUUGCCCAAGAGCUGGGCUGAUUGGCGCUGGUUUCCAUCUGUCAGAUUGGACAGCAGUACCACUGGCUGUUGGGGGCUCACGACCAGAUAGAGUCUUGUCUGGGAACCACAAGUGAGUGUUGUUACCACAGCUCUGCAGCAGUGAGGGCACCUCUCAAUCCACGUGCAGUCGCCCCACCUUAUCUUCAGGGGAUACGGUCCAACACCCUCAAUGGAUGCCUGAAAUCAAGGAUAGUAGUGAACACUAUAUACACUGUUUUGUUAUGCAUCCUUCCAUAUCUACGAUAAAGUUUAAUUCAUAAACUAGGCACAGGAAGAGAUUAAUAACAGCUAAUAAUAAAAUAGAACAGUCGUAACAAUAUACUGUAAUAAAAGUCAUGUGAAAGU
rnacentral:lncRNA from 1 species